rnacentral:rRNA from 1 species
GGUAAUGCCGGAUGCUCCAGUUGGAUGCAUGUCCUUCUGGGAAAGAUUCAUCGGUAUGGGAUGGGGUCGCGUCCUAUCAGCUUGAUGGCGGGGUAACGGCCCACCAUGGCUUCGACGGGUAGCCGGCCUGAGAGGGCGACCGGCCACAUUGGGACUGAGAUACGGCCCAGACUCCUACGGGAGGCAGCAGUGGGGAAUAUUGCACAAUGGGCGCAAGCCUGAUGCAGCGACGCCGCGUGCGGGAUGACGGCCUUCGGGUUGUAAACCGCUUUUGACUGGGAGCAAGCCCUUCGGGGUGAGUGUACCUUUCGAAUAAGCACCGGCUAACUACGUGCCAGCAGCCGCGGUAAUACGUAGGGUGCAAGCGUUAUCCGGAAUUAUUGGGCGUAAAGGGCUCGUAGGCGGUUCGUCGCGUCCGGUGUGAAAGUCCAUCGCUUAACGGUGGAUCCGCGCCGGGUACGGGCGGGCUUGAGUGCGGUAGGGGAGACUGGAAUUCCCGGUGUAACGGUGGAAUGUGUAGAU